GCGUCCCGGCCACGCUUCCUGGAAGAGAUGCAUUGCGGAGCUCGCUAGUGGGGAGUUGGCUUUCCUUAGGGGUGUGAGUCUAGCGUUAGCUGUUUUUUCCCGGCUGGGUCCCGGGUUACCCCACCAGCCCGACCUCAACCCACUCGCGUCCACAGCACGAGCCCCAGCAGCCUUGCGCGGUGCUUGCUCUCUAGUAGCGGCUGACUAGGUCAGUCAGGAUCUUUGAUUUUGGAGCACAAGCCUUCUGCGUGCUACUGACUGGGUCCUGGCCUCCCUCCUUCCAUGGCACCGUCGUGAAUGGGAAUUUCCACCACUGCCUCCAUUAGGUGCAAACUCACUUUUAGAAAAACAGUGAACCAUGGGACUGUACUAACAGAAGAACAACAAAUGCCCACCACAAGCCCCGCCUGUCUGUGACGUGGUGGCCAAUGCAGUUAGGAAGAGAGAGCUCUCAUCUCAGACUCGUUCACAUCGACCUGGUCAUGACUGGAGAGUUUCCACGUAUUGGCAAAUAUGCACGUUUUAAACUAUGGUGAAACCCCGUCUCUACUGAAAAUAUAAAAAAUUAGCCGGGCAUGGUGGUGGGCGCCUUCAGUGAGUUUCUGAAUUAGUGUGGGGCAUUGAGGAAAUAUUUCAGGGACAGAACUUCACCCCAGCCCAGGCCUUUUCUCACAUGCAAAGGCAGAUGCAAGGGCAGAAGUCGUCGUCUUGGGAUGAAGGUCUGCAAAGUCAUUCAUUUAUGCCCAGGAAUUGGAAAUCUCAAGACUCUAGGCUGUUUCCCUAGUUAGCCUUUGCACUCUGAACUUGGCUUACUCCCCUCCCUAGUGACCACUCUUCUGAACUUCACUCACAUUUCUGUCUAAGAACUAAGACGCAAGAGGAGGUCCCAACCUCAAAGAAACUUGUUUCAAGUUUCUUUCAGAGGAGGAGUUAAGCCAAUUAGAUGGUUACGUGUUGUGUAACCGAGCUCAUAAAACAUGAAAUGGCUUGAACUAAGGUAACAGGGGAUAAGUGGCUAGAAGACUUUUUAACAUUCUUAAUUUGGCUGUAGGGUGGAACACAUUAACGACUUCAGAAACAUAUUUGGUGAGCAACAUAGAAUGGAAUUGUUGUUCAUGUAUCAGGCAACUUAGUGUUUGGGAGAUAACCCCAGAUAAAAGGAAAAUUAUCAUGGGAUGAAAUUAACGAAAUAAGUAUUAAAAAGUUCUUAGCCAUGAAACAGCUAAGGACAAUUUACAGAAGUCGGAGAGGCGAAAGUGAGAUGAGGAGGAAGGAGGGAAAUGCCUCUGACAAACACAGCCAAUUAAAAAGUACCGUGAU